GAAGGUCAGAAAGCUUCACAAGGAUUCAGAGCAAGUAGAGUGAUUUGCUGAGGGUCACACAGCCAGGAUGUAGUGGAUCUGAGGUGUGAACUCACGCCUCCUGGCACAAAGCCCGCUCCACCUGCUGGAGGAAGCCAGGACAAGGCAUGCAGCCUGGACACACAGAAGUCAAUCAUCUCAUCCUCUGCUGGUUGCUGAGAAACACCCCCUGAGCAAAUGCUGAGCCUAUUGCUGGGUCCAGGGCCGGGGACGCUGCGAGGAGAGCUGACUAAUAAACCUUCCCCAGCCUCUAACAGGGGGACCUUACAUCAACAGCUAA
ensembl:lncRNA novel transcript, antisense to COL13A1